rnacentral:misc_RNA from 1 species
AAGUCGUAACAAGGUUUCCGUAGGUGAACCUGCGGAAGGAUCAUUACAGUAGUGUGUUGGGUGCUUCGGCACCCCUCAUUAUCCCUGUGAUAUGUACUGUGUGUGUAAGUGUGUGUGUGCAUGCGUGUAUGUGUGCACACAUGCAUACCUCUUUUUUUACUCUGUUUUCAUUCUUAUGUGCAUUUGUGUACGUCAUGUACCAAUCAAAACCGAAAACUGCCAGCAAUGGAUCACUCGGUUCUC